AGCGAACGCUGGCGGCAGGCCUAACACAUGCAAGUCGAACGAAGCCUUCGGGCUUAGUGGCGGACGGGUGAGUAACACGUGGGAACGUACCUUUUGGUUCGGAAUAACGCAGAGAAAUUUGCGCUAAUACCGAAUGAGCCCUUCGGGGGAAAGAUUUAUCGCCGAAAGAUCGGCCCGCGUUGGAUUAGGUAGUUGGUGUGGUAAAGGCGCACCAAGCCUACGAUCCAUAGCUGGUCUGAGAGGAUGAUCAGCCACACUGGGACUGAAACACGGGCCAGGCUCCCUCGGGAGGCAAGAAGGGGGAAAUGUUGGGAAAGGGCGAAAGGCUUACCGAACCCAUGCGCGGGAAUGAAUAAAGUCUUAGGAUUGUAAAAUUCUUUUACCAGGGACGAUAAUGACGGUACCUGGAGAAAAAGCCCCGGCUAACUUCGUGCCAGCAGCCGCCGCAGUAA
rnacentral:rRNA from 1 species